rnacentral:tRNA from 1 species
UCCAGGGUAGCCUAGUGGACAUGGCAUCUUCCCGGUAAGCGGAACAUUGUGGGUUCGUUUCACAUCCCUGGAA